UCAACCACCUCCCUGGGGAGCCUGUUCUGGUGCUUCACAACCCUUGCUGUAAAGAAGUUUUUUCUGAUAUCCAACCUAAACCUCGCCUGGUGCAACUUGAGGCCAUUUCCCCUUGUCCUGUCACAGGAAGCAGGGAAAUCCGUUACUUAAGAAGUUACACCUGAGAUAGUCUUAAGCAUUCUUAAUCCUAACUGAUACAUUCUGCCAACACCUUUUGCUGGAAUUGCUUUUAUAUGCUGCUUUCCUUCUUGUCCUAUGGUACAUCGUUUAGUUUUGAAAACUUGAAGAUCAGUAUUUGGUUUUAUUAAAGUUUUGUCAAAUAAAAAUGAGGUUGGGAUGUUUUAAAUUUGAAAUUGCAAUAGCAAAAUAAGGCGACAAUUACAACUUUUGCCUAAGGUUCUUUGCAAUUAGCAUUGGUCUUGUAACCAAUUUUUCUAGUUUUUAAAGGUUUUCUGUUUGCUUGUUUCCACUUCGGUCUGUGAAUAAUUACUCUGUGUCUACGCUAAGCCAGACCUGAACUAGAGAAAUGUAAUAAGAAUAUCAUUAUUAAGCAAGCUUUGUAUUGAUGAUGCAUUGAAUCAUAAACCUCGGCUUUCAGAGCUCUAAAUGUUAAUCUAAGUGAAUAUAAGAAAAUGCAAUCUCAUUUGCUGUGCAUUAAAUUUUUUUACUAUCAGCUAAUUUAAUUUAGGGAGAAUUUGGCUUGCUUUCUCUGACUGUGGCGAAGCAUCUAAAAUUAAAUUAAUAUCCCGAGCAGUGCAAAAUGAACAGUGGUAGUGAAAUCUUGCUAUGUGCACGUGCUGUUUCCCUGAGCCUUUAAAGCACAGUUUCUGGUCUCCUGGGACACAGCAUUCUCUGGGAUUAAAUGCUCCUGGAGGAAGCAGUUUAGAAACACAAAAUGCCAGGAAGCAGAUUCACACAGCAAUGAUCACAUAAUGAAGAUUCUAUUUGUGCUGUUUUUUUCCCUUUAUUUUUCACCCCUCCAAAAGCAAAGAACCUCUUUUAUUCAUAGGUUGAUUAAAGCCAUCUGAUGCAAGUGGCACAAUCUGCUGCUAGGAAAAAAAAGAGGACACAGAGGAAGAAGACUUCAUUUUGUAAGCACAUCCUCUGGUGCUACCUACUACCCAGGCCUUUGGGAGAUGAAAAAUGCCUAGAAAUUCUGGACAACAACAGCCACGGUACCUGACCCUAACAAUUCUACAAGGGAUGUGAAUCUCAUCAUAUCCUACAUACAUCAUGUGGGCACAUGUUGCUACAUGCAUUUAGACCUACUGUGUGACAUCUCACACUUCUGCUUUGGGAAUUGCACGGACGUAGCAAGGGCGCAAUUCUUCCCAACAAGAACGGGGAUGUGAACUACGGUAACUUCAGCUUAAUUCCUGAAUUUCUGUAUAAACUGCCUGUACAAAUUUUAGGUCCAUACAGGUCAUUGAUCUGAAGGAAAAUGUGCACCUUUACUUCAAAGUUAGAGCCCUCCAGUGCAGCUGUGAUUGAUGAGCAACUGAGGGGAGAAGACUUUUCUGGAGUAUUCAUCAGAAGAGAGAACAUACAUCUGUACACGGUACAAAAGUUCUUACGCUAAACUAUGUGCAUACAGAGAAGUAUUUCAUCCAGUUGAAGUCAGUCCCAGAGCAUCAGUGAUGGUGUCUGGGAAUUUGCUGAGGACUUUUUGUGGAAAACACUUGGCUUGGCUUUCGUGGAUUGUCCCCUAUAUACUGGACUUAUGUUUAUUCUUCAAUAACUGUUUGCUCUGUGCAGAAAGUUGUAAUUUAAAAACUUGUGACCUGUAGAUCUGCAGUACUUGCAGUUUUGCCUUUGCAGUCCGCAUUCAGAUACACUGGGGAAUAUAUGCAAAAUAUAUGCUGUGACAGGUCACAUCCUAAUGGCAGUUUCUGAGCAGCCCACUGUAGGCUUUGUGUCAGGUGAGAACAGAAUGAUGCAGUGCCUGAACUGUAAUCAUUCUGAGUGAGUAGCGCUCUGCACAUACAAAGAAAAUGCAUUCUCAUUAUUGUAGCGUUGUAAUUAGGAAUACCAGUACCUCGCUUUUCUCAUAACAACAGUGGAAGCUUUUAUGUCACCUUGCAAAGCUCAUAUGUCACUAAGUGAGGAGGGAUAAGAAUCUUGCUGAUUCUUUCAGAGAAUGAGUAGCCCAGAAAUGUGUUAACAAAUGUGACUGCUGCUACAAGAUUCCCUGGUAGCUGUACAGAAUUUAGAAAAUACCUUCAAAAUUAUGCUUCCUUUUUACUUUCAACUUAAAUCAGAUCUGGAUUGAUACAGCAAGUGAAUUUGUCAUGAUGCAACCUGGAAAAAAUUAACCUGAAGGUAUCUCAAUUUCUUGAUUUGCAUAGAACUUUGAACUGUAUCUCUGCAUGUUUGGCUAAUAAAGAACUUUGAAUCUGAAA